UGGGGAAUUUUGGACAAUGGGCGCAAGCCUGAUCCAGCCAUGCCGCGUGCGGGAAGAAGGUCUUCGGGUUGUAAACCGCUUUUGUCAGGGAAGAAAUCUUCCGAGUUAAUACCUCGGGAGGAUGACGGUACCUGAAGAAUAAGCACCGGCUAACUACGUGCCAGCAGCCGCGGUAAUACGUAGGGUGCAAGCGUUAAUCGGAAUUACUGGGCGUAAGCGUGCGCAGGCGGUUUUGUAAGACAGAGGUGAAAUCCCCGGGCUCAACCUGGGAACUGCCUUUGUGACUGCAAGGCUUGAGUGCGGCAGAGGGGGGCAUGGAAUUCCGCGUGUAGCAGUGAAAUUGCGUAGAUAUGCGGAGGAACACCGAUGG
rnacentral:rRNA from 1 species